GAUGUCGAGCUCUCCGAUUUCGCUCUGCUCGCCUUGGAAUUCGAGACCCCAGACGAGGACCAGGAUUCAUGAACCGGUCGCAGGGGCCCGGGCAGGGGCCUCUGGCUCCCGACGCUGGCCGAGAGACGACCUGUUUGAAAAAUUCUAAUAGGAAAACCAGAAGAUAAACCAAAUGGCUCAAGGUGAAGAUGCGCAUCAAGUGCCCUCCCUAUGCCUCCCACUGGGCUGGCUGAGGGAUCAGCAGAGAGCAGGGGAGACAACACACCUGCCUCCUGUAGCCAGAAACAAAUGAAAUCAAACAUGGUCCUCAAGGCUCAUGUCCACUAAACUCCUCCAAUCCUGGUCAUCUUGUCAGCCCUGCGCCUCUAUCCCACCUAGAGCUGAAUACUAUUAUUAUCAGUUAAGUGGGAAGCCUUCCAGACCAUUUCUUAUGCCUUAAAAUGCAUAUGUGUGUAUUCCAGGAAGAAGAAAAUGUGAUUUUUAUGGGUUCGU